rnacentral:rRNA from 1 species
AGCGAACGCUGGCGGCAGGCUUAACACAUGCAAGUCGAACGAACUCUUCGGAGUUAGUGGCGGACGGGUGAGUAACACGUGGGAACGUGCCUUUAGGUUCGGAAUAACUCAGGGAAACUUGUGCUAAUACCGAAUGUGCCCUUCGGGGGAAAGAUUUAUCGCCUUUAGAGCGGCCCGCGUCUGAUUAGCUAGUUGGUGAGGUAAAGGCUCACCAAGGCGACGAUCAGUAGCUGGUCUGAGAGGAUGAUCAGCCACAUUGGGACUGAGACACGGCCCAAACUCCUACGGGAGGCAGCAGUGGGGAAUCUUGCGCAAUGGGCGAAAGCCUGACGCAGCCAUGCCGCGUGAAUGAUGAAGGUCUUAGGAUUGUAAAAUUCUUUCACCGGGGACGAUAAUGACGGGACCCGGAGAAGAAGCCCCGGCGAACUUCGG